AGCUGGAUGCCGCAGUGGAUGCAACCAGCAGCAAGAAACUGCUGGCCUGAGGGCUGACCGUUUUCGGUCGAGUUCAGACUUGGUUCGGCUCC
rnacentral:tRNA from 1 species